rnacentral:rRNA from 1 species
UACAGGGGGGUGCAAACGUUGCUCGGAAUCAUUGGGCGUAAAGCGCACGUAGGCGGUUCGUUAUGUCGGAUGUGAAAGCCCUUGGCUUAACCGAGGAAGUGCAUCCGAAACUGGCGAGCUAGAGUACUAAAGAGGAUCGCGGAAUUCCCGGUGUAGAGGUGAAAUUCGUAGAUAUCGGGAGGAACACCGGUGGCGAAGGCGGCGAUCUGGGUAGAUACUGACGCUGAUGCGCGACAGCAUGGGGGAGCAAACAGG